CUGCCCUAUGCUGGAGGACAACAGUUAGAAAUGACUGCUAAUACUCCAUACUCCUUCUUAACACAAGUUAAGUUGGGAAAGUUUUUUCGGCAUAGGAUGAGACUAUAUUGUAUCAGCUAGUUGGUGAGGUAAUGGCUUACCAAGGCUAUGACGCAUAACUGGUCUGAGAGGAUGAUCAGUCACACUGGAACUGAGACACGGUCCAGACUCCUACGGGAGGCAGCAGUAGGGAAUAUUGCUCAAUGGGGGAAACCCUGAAGCAGCAACGCCGCGUGGAGGAUGACACUUUUCGGAGCGUAAACUCCUUUUGUUGGGGAAGAACAAUGACGGUACCCAACGAAUAAGCACCGGCUAACUCCGUGCCAGCAGCCGCGGUAAUACGGAGGGUGCAAGCGUUACUCGGAAUCACUGGGCGUAAAGGACGCGUAGGCGGAUUAUCAAGUCUUUUGUGAAAUCUAAUGGCUUAACCAUUAAACUGCUUGAGAAACUGAUAAUCUAGAGUGAGGGAGAGGCAGAUGGAAUUGGUGGUGUAGGGGUAAAAUCCGUAGAGAUCACCAGGAAUACCCAUUGCGAAGGCGAUCUGCUAGAACUUAACUGACGCUAAUGCGUGAAAGCGUGGGGAGCAAACAGGAUUAGAUACCCUGGUAGUCCACGCCCUAAACGAUGUAUACUAGUUGUUGCUGUGCUAGUCAUGGCAGUAAUGCACCUAACGGAUUAAGUAUACCGCCUGGGGAGUACGGUCGCAAGAUUAAAACUCAAAGGAAUAGACGGGGACCCGCACAAGCGGUGGAGCAUGUGGUUUAAUUCGAAGAUACGCGAAGAACCUUACCUGGGCUUGAUAUCCUAAGAACCUUGUAGAGAUACGAGGGUGCUAGCUUGCUAGAACUUAGAGACAGGUGCUGCACGGCUGUCGUCAGCUCGUGUCGUGAGAUGUUCGGUUAAGUCCGGCAACGAGCGCAACCCACGUAUUUAGUUGCUAACAGUUAGGCUGAGCACUCUAAAUAUACUGCCUUCGUAAGGAGGAGGAAGGUGUGGACGACGUCAAGUCAUCAUGGCC
rnacentral:rRNA from 1 species